rnacentral:ncRNA from 1 species
ACCGCCGCCGGACGGAAACCGGUCGCGAGGGUUGGGGAGCCUGAUGACCGAUCGGCUUUCGAGGUCACCCGAGUUGAUAGGGAACUCGGCAUGAGCCGCUCUGGCGAAGGAG